AACAUACUAUCUUAACAUAACUCUGAGGAAUAUUGUCAAGGUUUUUGGAAGUGAUAUUGGGGGCCCAACUGAUGACCUAGUACGUCUAUCAAUACCAAUUGAUACCAACAAGCCUCCAACACGCUCCGUUGAUGACAUUCUAUCGAAAUUGAUUCCACCUCUUCAAAAACCUCAAGGCACUGGAUGAAAGAAGAACAAUAUAAAUGGCCUAUGUUAAAACUUUCAUAAUUUCCUUGCCUGUAUUUCAGAUUUAUCGUUGUUGUUUGUUGUCGAAUAUUGUGCGUGGUCACAUGGAUGUGUUAUUUAGAAAAAUUUGUGAACUACUUAACUUAUGUUGAUCAAUUUGUUGUUGCAUUAAGUGCUUA